rnacentral:lncRNA from 1 species
AAAAAUCAUAUCAAAUUGAAAACAGAUGAGAAAUGAAUGAGAUUAACACCAAUGCAAAGCUUGAGAUGUCUAGUUAUCACAUAUGAAAUUUCAUGGACAUACAAUAUGAUGUGAGAAUUUCACAAAAGAUUUGGCAAUGUAUAGCACAAAAAGUCAACAAAUGACUAAGCAUGGAAGAAAAUUCUCAAAUAAAUGGAAAACAGCAAGAUUAAAUCCAAAAAAAAAUUCAUACACAAACUAGACAUGUGAUAGAUGAUUCAUGCAAAAAAUGGGGUCAAUUGGAUGCAAGGAAGCAUCUGAACAAAAAUUGGGAAAAUGCAUAUCAUUGAUAUAGCACCAAAUGUAACACAUAACUUCAGAAAAUCAUAACUCUCAAUCCACAAAUGAUAAAUGCACAAACUUUAUAUGGAAAUGAAGGGGAAUGAGUCUAGUUUCAUCACAAAAAGUUUCAGGGGCAAUGGAUAUGUCAUGAGUAUUUCACAAAAGGAAUGGCACAAUGUAUCAAUUAUGCAUACAUGUUGGGAAAACAAUUAUCAUUAAAAAUCCAGUCAAUGGAAAAUUAAUUAAAAUUCACAAUAAAAUAGAGGACAUUCUUGUGAAGAUGAUGGAAAAAAUUUCAUGAUUUUUGGAUGAAACUUGAGAAAGAAAUGAAUUUGUGAACUUGAGUGAAUAAUUGAAGCAACAUGAGCAAGCAACAUGAACAAAGGGGUCAAACUAAGGUCAACCGAUGGCAAACUUGUAAUAUCCGCCUCACUAAUCAAAGCUGCGCGUUUUGGCCCUGCGAAAUGAAAUGUUUUGAUUGGCUCUCAGCCAAUAAAACAGUAACUCGGCCAAUGGAUGAAUUUUCUGGGUUUAAGAAAAACCCUAGGGUUUCUAACACAGCAAGGUUCAUGGUUCAGCUUCAUCAAUCGAUCAAAAACAACAACAAAUGAACAGCAACAUGUAACAACGAUCAUACAACAAUCCAGCAUCCAUGACCAAACACAACAAACACCAACAUGUGGAUUUUAUGAGCAAGUUUAAAGUUUUCAAACAGCAGGGCAUAUGCAGCACCAACAUCAUUCAUUUUCAAACAACAUCAUCCAUUGACAUGAACAAAAAAACAUAUCCAGCAUCAAACAAUCGAGCAUGGCCAUGAACAUUUAUCAAUAAGCAACCCUAGCUAACAGCAAAACAACAUAAUCAUGGGAGUUUUCUGGACAGAACAUCAGGUUUAAACAGCAGCAACAACAUCAUCACUAACAUGCAUCCGAAAUUUUUAUGUGCCCAGAAAUCGAAACCAAGCAUGCUAACAUCAUCAAUAAACAUCAAGCAACAAGAGUAUGGUGUCCAUUUUCAUUAACUCAUCAUGAAUAUAGCAAAUCGAGCUAAAACUUGUUUGAACAUAAAUAAUGAAAUUCACUUUUCUCACAGCACAAUCAACCAAUUAGCAUGAUGUAAGUUGCAAUGGAUUCAGUUAAGCAAGUUCUAUCUAACACAUGGCAUAGAUUUGAGAAUGAUGAUGGUCGAAAACUUACUUGGUUGUGAAGAAAAAUGUGAAACAGGGUUGUUUAGAUGUUUUCAGCUCGAACCAGA